rnacentral:rRNA from 1 species
AACGAACGCUGGCGGCAUGCCUAACACAUGCAAGUCGAACGAGACCUUCGGGUCUAGUGGCGCACGGGUGCGUAACGCGUGGGAACCUGCCCUUAGGUUCGGAAUAACUCCCCGAAAGGGGUGCUAAUACCGGAUAAUGUCUUCGGACCAAAGAUUUAUGGCCUUUGGAUGGGCCCGCGUUGGAUUAGCUAGUUGGUAGGGUAAAAGCCUACCAAGGCGACGAUCCAUAGCUGGUCUGAGAGGAUGACCAGCCACACUGGGACUGAGACACGGCCCAGACUCCUACGGGAGGGAGCAGUGGGGAAUAUUGGACGAGGGGCGAAAGCCUGAUCCAGCAAUGCCGCGUGAGUGAUGAAGGCCUUAGGGUUGUAAAGCUCUUUUACCCGGGAUGAUAAUGACAGUACCGGGAGAAUAAGCACCGGCUAACUCCGUG